rnacentral:lncRNA from 1 species
GCUGGCCUACGCCAUGGCCAUGGCAAGCAACACUGGGCAGGAUCCGAGCCAUGUCUGCAACUUACACCACAGCUCAUGGCAAUGUUGGAUCCUUAACCCACUGAGCGAGGCCAGGGACCGAACCUGUAACCUCAUGGUUACUAGUCGGAUUCAUUUCCACUGCGCCACAAUAGGAAUUUCUAUACUCAAUAUUUUGGAAUAACCUUUAUGGGAAAAGACUCUGAAAAAGAGUAUCUGUGUAUCACUUAUGUGAUACCUGAAACAAACACAACAUUGUAAAUCAACUCUACUUCAAUAAUAAAAGAAAAAAGAAAAAGCAAACAAUGCUAUCUGAGCUACCCCGGUGCUAUGAUGACAGUUACAUAAAGCUACGUUCUAGGAGCACAGAAAAUGCGAGUUAUCAUCAUAACCAAAGGCCCAGGCAAAGGUAAGCUGUCAAUUCCCCCUCAGAGACAGUCAGGCCCACUCAGCCCCUCUGCUCACUUCUCUGGGAGCUUCCGGUUCCCGAGGUUUUCGUCCCAGUGGGUGGGUUCCUCAGAGGUGUUCUCUCCAGAGAAGCUGCAGCACACUCCCCAGGCCAGGGGUCCUGUGCCCACGGCCUCUGCAGUGCCCUGCGUGCCUCUAGAGGUGUCUGACAUCACGUGCUGAACGGAGCUUGAAAAGUAAGCCUACCAGAGGCAGAUACGGGUUCUUCUGCACAAACCAGGACACAGAAUACAAACAGGAAGAGUUGGAAAAAGAAAUUCGAAUUCUGCACUUCUCAGAGAAAAAUCUAUCUUCAAUCUUACUGUUUCUGGUGGUGCCGGCAGAAACCUCAUUGGGGUCUGCAUGGCCGCAAAUGGAAAGUCACACACGAACACAUUUCCUGCAGGGACAGCAGGGCAAUGAGCUGGCUCUAUUUUGAGAGCCAAGCUCUCACUUAGCCGUGUCCCUAGCAUCCAUGAGUGGCGGUGCCCGGAGAAUUCCCGCUGCUGCAGGUGUGUCCACCUGGAUUAGUGUUGGGAACACAGGUAGAGGGAGAGAAGGGAAACGCCGGGGACAGUGAGGAGAGGCAGGUCACAUUUAGAAACAGUAACAAGUUACCGCCUCCGCUCUGCCCAAGGCACGGGGCGGGGGUGGCUGCACGGGGCUAAGCGAGGGCGGGGGCGGGGGUGGGGGUGACUCACACAGACCUUCUUGGUCCCCAUGGCUCUGCUGAGGGAGGUCAGGUGACUCACCGGGGUCACAUGGUCAGCCUGACACUGAGCCCCGGGUCUCUGUCUCCGUGUCCUCCCUGGAUGAAGCCAGCAGUGGCUGGUCAGCUCAGCUCACUCUCCACACCAGCCCCGGGUCUCUCGCAGGGUCUAAGAGCCAGACUCUGGCCCCGGGAAGGGUAUGAUUUCCUUGGAGGGCAAAUGGACAAGUGAAUAACAAGCCAGAUCCCACAAGGCCCGAGUGUCCCCAGGAGAAGAAACCACUGCUGGUUGUGCAAAACCUGGCACUUGGGUGGUUUCACAAACAAGAGGGAUGGGGCUGGACUUGGGGGUCUGGGUGGGGUGGAGGGAGCAGUGCGGGCUCACACAGGGGCUGGGGGUGGGGAGCUGGGCCUGGAAGAGGAUUCUGAAUUCUGCGUUGGGAAUUGGGAACAUGGGAGCCAGAGCAGGAAACACGGAAUCACAAGGGAGCUGCAGGGGGCGUCUGAUGAGCCAGGAAGGGUACCUGGUGCCCCUGCGCUGCUUGGAACUAAAGCAGAGAGUGGCCUGGGUGGCACCACAGAGCCAGGCAAACAGGUGUGUGGUGGCCCUGAGCUCAGGGCUGCAAACAGACGGGGACCUCUCACUGCCAGGAGGGUCACAGAAAACCUGUGUCUUCAACCAACCCCGAGGAGGACACUGCAGAGGACACCGCGCAAUGACAGGUACACGCUGGGGACUCUCAUUCCUUCCAAGGAAACAAGUGAAAAGUUCCUGUCAGUGGCGCGGGGGGCGGGGGGGGGACGGAAGGAACACGGCUCUGUGCCCAGCAUGCGGCCUUGGGCCACAGCCCAGUUACUGGGGUGCACAGCACAGGUCACGCUGCGGGGGACAGGGGCCUCUCUGUGAGGCCCGUCACCCAGAACACAGACAAUGGAACCCACUGUGUCGGGGAUGGCACACAGGUGCCGUCUCUCCAGCGGGGGAUAAAGGGGAACCUUCGCUACAAAACCAGCACGAAUAUCCCCACGGGUGGGAGGCCUGCCAUAGGGAACAGCUGCUUUUAGGAAAACUGCUUUGUCUAAAAGGAUGUCUUUUCACACCUGCGUGUGCUGGCAGCAUCCUGUAAGAGCCAAGGGCAGCGUGGUAAAGCUGGAUGACCAAGCCACUUUUCUCUCUCUCUCUCUUUUUUUUUUUUUUUUUUCCCGUCUUUUUGCCUUUUCCAGGGCCGCUCCCGAGGCAUACAGAGGUUCCCAGGCUAGGAGUCUAAUCGGAGCUGUAGCCACCAGCCUACACCACAGCCACAGCAACGUGGGAUCCGAGCCGCAUCUGCGACCUACACCACCAGUCACGGCAACGCCGGAUCCUCAACCCACUGAGUGAGGCCAGGGAACUGAACCCGCGUCCUCAUGAGGGCUAAUCGGGUUCGUUAACCACUGAGCCACAAUGGGAAUUUCCAUCAUUUCUCUGUUACUAGUGGUCACUGUCCUUCACCUUUAGAGGACAAGCCCAUGACCUACCUACACAUGAAACAGCCCAUAAAAUAAAAAAAAACCUUCAUGAUUAGAAAUGCUUCCGUCAGCAGCAGCUGUUUAUUCCCCAGAGUUGUUUUCACAGCUCCCUGGUCCAGCCAUUUCCAGAAAUGACUGCUGCCUGGCUGGCCAUCCUGUUACAGGAUGAACCAGGAUAUCUUUUCCCCAAACACAACACAACACAAACAGGAAGAAAAACUGGGCGAGAUAACGCUGAAGGGCUUCAUAUUACCAACCAUUUCCUUAGAGGUCUUUGGGGGGAAGGAGCUUUCACACGGUUACUUAGAACUUUUUUCCAUUGACUUUGCUGCUGUAAGUGCUCUGACUUUGGGCUCGUCGCCCCCACGACGGGCGGGACAGCGCGGUCCCCUCCCUGCCACUCCUCCUUGGGGUGAGGACUCGCCCUUCACAGCGAGAGCAUCUGAUCCUCAGGGCCAGGGCUAUUUCUGUGCUGCGCGUUCACACUCGGUGCAUUUUCAUUUGCCAACAGACGUUCUAAUUCACAAAAAGAAGGGAACGAGAAAUCCUUCACUGGAGGUCCGUGGAUGACAGAGAAGUGGCACCAGCAGUCUCUCCCUCGCGUUCCGCCCAGAGAACGUUUAGGUCACGGUCAAUAAUGGCCUAAGUCACGUUGUGACUGGAGAACACACUUCCGCAGUCACACGAAGCAGGAUCGGAAGGGGCUCCAAGUAUGGGGACCCCUACGGACCAGCCUUCCUGCUGCCACUGAACUCACACACCUGACACACCCACACCGACACACACUCACCAAUCCACCACCCCUACACAUGUACCAACACACAUCACAUACACAACACACGCAUCAACACACAUCACAUUACAGCACACCCCCCACACAUCCAAACUCACACCCCCACAUGCAGCAACACACAUCACGUAUGCAACACAUACCCCACACAUCCAAACACACACGCCCCACACAUCACAUAUAUAGCACCCCCCCACACACAUCCAAACACACACCCCCCACCCACAGCAAAAGACAUCACAUCACACAUACAGCACCCCGACCCCAACACACACACACCCCUUCGGGGAACCCCUAAGCAGAGUCUUGCUCAUCAUUCCAGUCUUCUGAUGUUGGCAGAGAUGGCACGUGAGUGGGACACUGGCAGGUGGCAAAUGCCAUGUCCCUUCAUGAGGCUUCCAGUGCCUCGCACCCCACUCCCUCCCCAGGGCUUGUGCACCUGUCUGACAAGGGCAGAGCUCAGGCUUUUCUGCUGGGAUGGGAGCAGCGGCAGGAAGGUGAUGGCCCAGCCCCUCAAGUCAACAACGGGGCCCUGAGUCUCCCUCCCAACUCAGAGAAAGGGACGUGGCUCCUCAAAAGCGAAUACCUUCCCUGUUGCACUGGACACGGUCCCUUCCUGCCACCAGAGGAAACCCACCAAACACACUCCUCAAAUGCCCACUGAAUGGGCAGUUUGUGCUGGGCCUCCACAUGGCUACAGGGGUGGAAAGCAGACAACUCGUGUUCCCAAGGCACCUGGGACUAUAGCUCAUCAUCGACAGCUAACGA